UGUGUUGUUCCAGGCGUUUUCUACAAAACUGACUUAUUUUUUCAUACAUGGGCCAUUGUGUGCUCAGGCUAAGGAAGAUGAAGAUGGCGCACGAGAUAUCCUGGGGGCAGGAGCUGACUGCUACACCUGUCUUCAAUCUGCUCAUCAGGAGGCUCCUUCUUAAGGAGGCGGAGACGGACACUCCAGUGCCAGAAGUGUUUGCCAGUAAUGAUAUUCCUGCCUGACAAUCUGAAAACCUGGAGAGAGACUCUUUCUGGAGUCUGCCUGUCUGCUCUCAGUGAAACCCUGGAGGGUUGUUUCUGCCUGGAAUCUGCCAGCCCGCUCUCAGAGAAAACUGAGAGGGAACUUUGUCUGGAAUCCGUCUGCCUGCACUCAGUAAGCCUCCGCCCUCUGCGUGCCGACCAACCUCUGGAACCUCAAGGUUCCUCCCCUCUGCAGCUCCGCUCAACUUCAGAACAGUGGUGAACCCCUGCGUGACCAGUCAACCUACCAAGGACCAGUUCAUGAAAUAUUGUGCUUC